rnacentral:sRNA from 12 species
GAAGCGCGAACCAAGACGUCGCGCAAGCGACGUAAGGCUUGGAGCUGGUGUCCGCAAGAACGACAUGCA